UCCAAGCAUCAGUGUGUCAGACACGAGGCC
rnacentral:piRNA from 1 species